rnacentral:rRNA from 1 species
AUGGGUGGCGAGUGGCGGACGGGUGAGGAAUACAUCGGAAUCUACCUUUUCGUGGGGGAUAACGUAGGGAAACUUACGCUAAUACCGCAUACGACCUUAGGGUGAAAGCGGAGGACCUUCGGGCUUCGCGCGGAUAGAUGAGCCGAUGUCGGAUUAGCUAGUUGGCGGGGUAAAGGCCCACCAAGGCGACGAUCCGUAGCUGGUCUGAGAGGAUGAUCAGCCACACUGGAACUGAGACACGGUCCAGACUCCUACGGGAGGCAGCAGUGGGGAAUAUUGGACAAUGGGCGCAAGCCUGAUCCAGCCAUGCCGCGUGGGUGAAGAAGGCCUUCGGGUUGUAAAGCCCUUUUGUUGGGAAAGAAAAGCAGUCGGUUAAUACCCGAUUGUUCUGACGGUACCCAAAGAAUAAGCACCGGCUAACUUCGUGCCAGCAGCCGCGGUAAUACGAAGGGUGCAAGCGUUACUCGGAAUUACUGGGCGUAAAGCGUGCGUAGGUGGUUGUUUAAGUCCGUUGUGAAAGCCCUGGGCUCAACCUGGGAAUUGCAGUGGAUACUGGGCAACUAGAGUGUGGUAGAGGAUGGCGGAAUUCCCGGUGUAGCAGUGAAAUGCGUAGAGAUCGGGAGGAACAUCUGUGGCGAAGGCGGCCAUCUGGACCAACACUGACACUGAGGCACGAAAGCGUGGGGAGCAAACAGGAUUA